rnacentral:lncRNA from 1 species
UAGCCCUUAUAUUCAAUAUGGGCGCAGGGUAUUGUGACGUAGCUAUAACAGCUACAGCAGGAGGUAUGUCGCAGAUCAAGGCCUUGGCGGGCAGCACAGUUGGAGGUGAGGACCUACUUCAAAAUCUGAUGCAUCACCUCUUACCAAGCAUGGAUGAUAUAUUCUCGAGCCACGGGAUCGAAGAAAUAAAGAGAAUGGGGUUGCUUCGAGUUGCCACCCAGGAUGCCAUCCAUAAACUCUCAUCCGAAAUGAGUGUCCCGAUCGAUGUUGUCUUGGGAAAUGGAACAAAAAUAUCUAAGUUUCUCGAGAGGGCAGAGUUUGAAGAGGUGAACAAAGAGGUGUUCCAGAAAUGUGAGACCUUGAUAGAAGUAUCACAGAUCAAGGCCUUGGCGGGCAGCACAGUUGGAGGUGAGGACCUACUUCAAAAUCUGAUGCAUCACCUCUUACCAAGCAUGGAUCAUAUAUUCUCGAGCCACGGGAUCGAAGAAAUAAAGAGAAUGGGGUUGCUUCGAGUUGCCACCCAGGAUGCCAUCCAUAAACUCUCAUCCGAAAUGAGUGUCCCGAUCGAUGUUGUCUUGGGAAAUGGAACAAAAAUAUCUAAGUUUCUCGAGAGGGCAGAGUUUGAAGAGGUGAACAAAGAGGUGUUCCAGAAAUGUGAGAC